CAAGACUGAGAACACCUGUUGGAUACAAGACUCACCUGAUAUUCCCAGCUGUUUGAGGUACUGGGAAUGUACCUGUGAGCUCUUUGGGAAUCCUUUAAGGAUGAGCGAAGAGAUAAGAGAUGGAGAAGUUUCUGGGCAGAAUUCUCCGAAUUUUAGUAAGAGAGUACAGGAUUUCUCCUCUGCAAAUAGGAAGACAAUACUGGAAUAGAAAUCAGGCUGUAAUAUUUACAGGAAGCAAGUGUGGAAAAGAAAGCAAUCCCAAUGUAAACACCAAGGCAGAGAGGGCUUCUUCAUUUUCCCUUUGCAGAGUGGGGCACUGAUGAAGGUCAGCUCCUAAGAACAGCUGUUUUCCUGGGAAGAGCCCCUUCCCCAGCACAGAAUGCACGUGGUACUCGUUGAGAAUCCCUAAUAGGUUUUCUCCCCUCCCUCCCCCCAAAGUUUCAAGUUCAAUAAAUAGUAGAAAAAUAAUCCUUUACUUAAAAAUCUUGAGAUGCAUUGUCCCAGGUCCCGCACAGUGACGUGGGCACAGGGAUCUCUCCACCUGCAGAGAAGCCAGCAGCCUUCCCUGCUCUGCCUGCCACUUCUGGGCUCUCCAGCUGCAGAUUCCUGCUCUUCCAGUUAAGGAAACCAAAUCAUCUCUGGCUCUUUAAGCUCUCUCUCUGCUCUUGGCUCAGCACAACAAACUCCAGCUGCUGGAUAAACUCCCAUCCCUGUUCCUGGAGGUCUAACAUGCCUCCUGCUCCAUCUGUCUCCAUGUUUUGGCAGGUCCAUUCAUCAAGCACGUUUCCAGGCCAGAGCCAACCUUAUACUUGUAAAAAUGCAAAGUUCUGAUGCCUCUGUUUGGUGGGGAAGCCUGUGAGGUUGUCCCUGGGGAGCAGCACAGUCCCUGUGGCUCUGGAGUGGCAUCUGUGGUGUCCUCAGUGCACAGUGCCACAGCCUGCAGGAGGUGGCUGUGCUGUCCCCAGUGGCACAGCCUGCAGGAGGUGGCUGUGCUGU